rnacentral:rRNA from 1 species
CAUCCUGCCCAGUGAACUUGAGUUUCAACGGCCGCGGUAUCCUGACCGUGCAAAGGUAGCAUAAUCAUUUGCCUUUUAAUUAAAGGCUAGUAUGAAAGGACACACAAGAGUAAUUCUGUCUCAUUUGGACUAACUUAAAACUGAUCUUUAGGUGAAGAUGCCUAAAUUUUCAUAAAAGACAAGAAGACCCUAUAGAGCUUUAUCAAUAAAAGUUAUAACACUUAUUUAUUGAUUUGGUUGGGACAACCGAAAGACACUCAUACCUCUUCUAACCCCCACACACAACUCUCACCCACCACUGAAUUUGAAUUUCAAGCUACCUUAGGGAUAACAGGCUAAUCCUACUAGAGAGACCACAUUGACAGUAGGGAUUGGCACCUCGAUGUUGGCUUAGUGUAACCAUUAGGCGCAGCCGCUUAAUUGA